CACACCGCCCGUCACACCAUGGGAGUUUGUUGCACCAGAAGCAGGUAGCUUAACCGCAAGGGGGGCGCUUGCCACGGUGUGGUCGAUGACUGGGGUG
rnacentral:rRNA from 1 species